rnacentral:lncRNA from 10 species
UACAGGGUAGUACAAUUUAUUGAUUGACAUAAACUUCUACAGUAAUUCAUCUGUUUUCCUGCCUGAAUUUUUUCAAGCUGCAGCACAGUGAUUAUUUAAUUGAGUUAAUUAAUUUAUUUUAGAGACAUGGUCUGACUCUUGCUCAGGCUGUUCUCAAACUCCUGGGCUCAACAAAUCCUCCAGCCUUUCAAGUAGCUGAAACUACAGAUGUGCGCCACCACAUCCAGCUUAUUUCUGGUCGGGCAAUGCUGGAAAGAUCCAUGAAUCUUACAUUACUAAUCUACCUGUUUGUUGUUCCAGUAUGUUAAAUCUAUAUUUCAAUAACUGUUGACUUUUGCCAGCCUUAUGUCUACUCUACCAUCAGUAGCAAGACAAUUGUGUAGAUCAGGGUUGUCCAUAGUAGUUAAAAGGUAAGAAUCGCUUGGCAUAUGUAUUAAUAUAGUAAUUCUAAGGUCUGUCUGCCAGAAAUUCUGAUUCUAAAAAUUGGUAUGGAUACCCAGAAUCUGUACAGUAGAUGACAUUUUAAGUUAGAAAUAUUUAAGCAACACUUAUAAAAAUGAUCAGGAAGAAGAAAAGAAUAACAGAAGAUACCAUUUAAAAAAUGCAUACAUCUUUUGGCCAAAUUCCAGAAAUUUAGACUAAAAUGUUUUGAAUAAAAAAGUGUUAAAAUAAUUUUAUUAAAUUUUAUGCUUCUUGAACUUCAAAUUGAAAGCAGAAGAAUAUUUUGGAAACAUUAUUUUAUUAUUUUCAUGAUCUCUAAAUGGAAAUCUGAAACAAAUUGAUUGGAAAGGUUGAAAUCAUUGAUUUUUCAAUAAGCUGCAUAAGCAAAAAUAAAAAUAAUAAAACAAAGAGUAAUCCCAAUUACAGACCAAAACAUCAUUUUUCUUUUGGGUAGAGCCUGAGAUAGGGCAUGUUAACCAAAGGGCAUGGAAUUGGGAACUAAAUGUGGGCAGCCACCCCAUGAAGAGCCACCUCUGCAGGCAUAACUCAACUUGUGCCUCCUCCAGGAGAAAUUAGGUGGAUUUUGAUAUAUUUUUAGAGCUGUUCUUCUCUAAUGCAGCUAUCAGGUCAAUCACUGCAUCCCCUUAGAGACAGACUGAGGAAAAGUUCAGGAAGGCCAUGAAUGUGUUAAGGGGCAAUCCCUCUCAUUGAAUCCAUGGAAGACAAAUCCUAAGCUCCCAUGGGGAAAGCCAAGAACUAACUUGAGUUUUGCUUCAGUACUCACAAAAGGACCAUGAACUCAUGCCGCCAUUAAACCAUUAAGUCAUCUUAAAAUGUUGUAUUUCAAUUUUAAAUAGCUGGAAAGAAUAAUUUGAGGCAGAAUAUUAUGUCAAUCUUUAAACAAUUUA